rnacentral:rRNA from 1 species
CCUACGGGGGGCAGCAGUGAGGAAUAUUGGUCAAUGGUCGGGAGACUGAACCAGCCAAGCCGCGUGAGGGAGGAAGGUACAGAGUAUCGUAAACCUCUUUUGUCAGGGAACAAAGGCGGGGACGUGUCCCCGGAUGAGUGUACCUGAAGAAAAAGCAUCGGCUAACUCCGUGCCAGCAGCCGCGGUAAUACGGAGGAUGCGAGCGUUAUCCGGAUUUAUUGGGUUUAAGGGGUACGAAGGCGGUCUGUUAAGUCAGCGGUAAAAGCCCGGGGCCCAACCCCGGCCCGCCGUUGAAACUGGCAGUCUCGAGUUGGAGAGAAGUAUGCGGAAUGCGCGGUGUAGCGGUGAAAUGCAUAGAUAUCGCGCAGAACUCCGAUUGCGAAGGCAGCAUGCCGGCUCCACACUGACGCUGAGGCACGAAAGCGUGGGUAUCGAACAGGAUUAGAUACCCUUGUAGUC